rnacentral:rRNA from 1 species
GACAGAGGUGGCAAGCGUUGCUCGGAGUUACUGGGCAUAAAGGGCGCGUAGGCGGUCGUGCACGUCGGUGGUGAAAUCUCCGGGCUCAACCCGGAAACUGCCUUCGAUACGGCGCGACUAGAGUGCGGGAGGGGAGAGUGGAACUUCUGGUGGAGCGGUGAAAUGCGUAGAUAUCAGAAGGAACGCCGGUGGCGAAAGCGACUCUCUGGUCCGCAACUGACGCUGAGGCGCGAAAGCUAGGGGAGCAAACGGG